GGGUUGUGAGGUUAAGCGACUAAGCGUACACGGUGGAUGCCCUGGCAGUCAGAGGCGAUGAAGGACGUGCUAAUCUGCGAUAAGCGUCGGUGAGGUGAUAUGAACCGUUAUAACCGGCGAUUUCCGAAUGGGGAAACCCAGUGUGUUUCGACACACUAUCAUUAACUGAAUCCAUAGGUUAAUGAGGCGAACCGGGGGAACUGAAACAUCUAAGUACCCCGAGGAAAAGAAAUCAACCGAGAUUCCCCCAGUAGCGGCGAGCGAACGGGGAGGAGCCCAGAGCCUGAAUCAGUGUGUGUGUUAGUGGAAGCGUCUGGAAAGGCGCGCGAUACAGGGUGACAGCCCCGUACACAAAAAUGCACAUGCUGUGAGCUCGAUGAGUAGGGCGGGACACGUGGUAUCCUGUCUGAAUAUGGGGGACCAUCCUCCAAGGCUAAAUACUCCUGACUGACCGAUAGUGAACCAGUACCGUGAGGGAAAGGCGAAAAGAACCCCGGCGAGGGGAGUGAAAAAGAACCUGAAACCGUGUACGUACAAGCAGUGGGAGCCUCUUAAUGGGGUGACUGCGUACCUUUUGUAUAAUGGGUCAGCGACUUAUAUUCUGUAGCAAGGUUAACCGAAUAGGGGAGCCGAAGGGAAACCGAGUCUUAACUGGGCGUUAAGUUGCAGGGUAUAGACCCGAAACCCGGUGAUCUAGCCAUGGGCAGGUUGAAGGUUGGGUAACACUAACUGGAGGACCGAACCGACUAAUGUUGAAAAAUUAGCGGAUGACUUGUGGCUGGGGGUGAAAGGCCAAUCAAACCGGGAGAUAGCUGGUUCUCCCCGAAAGCUAUUUAGGUAGCGCCUCGUGAAUUCAUCUCCGGGGGUAGAGCACUGUUUCGGCAAGGGGGUCAUCCCGACUUACCAACCCGAUGCAAACUGCGAAUACCGGAGAAUGUUAUCACGGGAGACACACGGCGGGUGCUAACGUCCGUCGUGAAGAGGGAAACAACCCAGACCGCCAGCUAAGGUCCCAAAGUCAUGGUUAAGUGGGAAACGAUGUGGGAAGGCCCAGACAGCCAGGAUGUUGGCUUAGAAGCAGCCAUCAUUUAAAGAAAGCGUAAUAGCUCACUGGUCGAGUCGGCCUGCGCGGAAGAUGUAACGGGGCUAAACCAUGCACCGAAGCUGCGGCAGCGACACUAUGUGUUGUUGGGUAGGGGAGCGUUCUGUAAGCCUGUGAAGGUGUGCUGUGAGGCAUGCUGGAGGUAUCAGAAGUGCGAAUGCUGACAUAAGUAACGAUAAAGCGGGUGAAAAGCCCGCUCGCCGGAAGACCAAGGGUUCCUGUCCAACGUUAAUCGGGGCAGGGUGAGUCGACCCCUAAGGCGAGGCCGAAAGGCGUAGUCGAUGGGAAACAGGUUAAUAUUCCUGUACUUGGUGUUACUGCGAAGGGGGGACGGAGAAGGCUAUGUUGGCCGGGCGACGGUUGUCCCGGUUUAAGCGUGUAGGCUGGUUUUCCAGGCAAAUCCGGAAAACCAAGGCUGAGGCGUGAUGACGAGGCACUACGGUGCUGAAGCGACAAAUGCCCUGCUUCCGUGAAAAGCCUCUAAGCAUCAGGUAACAUCAAAUCGUACCCCAAACCGACACAGGUGGUCAGGUAGAGAAUACCAAGGCGCUUGAGAGAACUCGGGUGAAGGAACUAGGCAAAAUGGUGCCGUAACUUCGGGAGAAGGCACGCUGAUAUGUAGGUGAAGCGACUUGCUCGUGGAGCUGAAAUCAGUCGAAGAUACCAGCUGGCUGCAACUGUUUAUUAAAAACACAGCACUGUGCAAACACGAAAGUGGACGUAUACGGUGUGACGCCUGCCCGGUGCCGGAAGGUUAAUUGAUGGGGUUAGCGGUAACGCGAAGCUCUUGAUCGAAGCCCCGGUAAACGGCGGCCGUAACUAUAACGGUCCUAAGGUAGCGAAAUUCCUUGUCGGGUAAGUUCCGACCUGCACGAAUGGCGUAAUGAUGGCCGGCUGUCUCCACCCGAGACUCAGUGAAAUUGAACUCGCUGUGAAGAUGCAGUGUACCCGCGGCAAGACGGAAAGACCCCGUGAACCUUUACUAUAGCUUGACACUGAACAUUGAGCCUUGAUGUGUAGGAUAGGUGGGAGGCUUUGAAGUGUGGACGCCAGUCUGCAUGGAGCCGACCUUGAAAUACCACCCUUUAAUGUUUGAUGUUCUAACGUUGGCCCGUAAUCCGGGUUGCGGACAGUGUCUGGUGGGUAGUUUGACUGGGGCGGUCUCCUCCUAAAGAGUAACGGAGGAGCACGAAGGUUGGCUAAUCCUGGUCGGACAUCAGGAGGUUAGUGCAAUGGCAUAAGCCAGCUUGACUGCGAGCGUGACGGCGCGAGCAGGUGCGAAAGCAGGUCAUAGUGAUCCGGUGGUUCUGAAUGGAAGGGCCAUCGCUCAACGGAUAAAAGGUACUCCGGGGAUAACAGGCUGAUACCGCCCAAGAGUUCAUAUCGACGGCGGUGUUUGGCACCUCGAUGUCGGCUCAUCACAUCCUGGGGCUGAAGUAGGUCCCAAGGGUAUGGCUGUUCGCCAUUUAAAGUGGUACGCGAGCUGGGUUUAGAACGUCGUGAGACAGUUCGGUCCCUAUCUGCCGUGGGCGCUGGAGAACUGAGGGGGGCUGCUCCUAGUACGAGAGGACCGGAGUGGACGCAUCACUGGUGUUCGGGUUGUCAUGCCAAUGGCACUGCCCGGUAGCUAAAUGCGGAAGAGAUAAGUGCUGAAAGCAUCUAAGCACGAAACUUGCCCCGAGAUGAGUUCUCCCUGAGACUUAGAGUCUCCUGAAGGAACGUUGAAGACGACGACGUUGAUAGGCCGGGUGUGUAAGCGCAGCGAUGCGUUGAGCUAACCGGUACUAAUGAACCGUGAGGCUUAACCUUACAACGCCGAAG
rnacentral:rRNA from 1 species